rnacentral:rRNA from 1 species
AACAGGAUUAGAUACCCUGGUAGUCCACGCCGUAAACGAUGAGUACUAAACGUUGGGUAAAACCAGUGUUGAAGUUAACACAUUAAGUACUCCGCCUGAGUAGUACGUACGCAAGUAUGAAACUUAAAGGAAUUGACGGGACUCCGCACAAGCGGUGGAUCAUGUUGUUUAAUUCGAAGGUACCCGAAAAACCUCACCAGGUCUUGACAUGCUUCUGCAAAGCUGUAGAAACACAGUGGAGGUUAUCAGUUGCACAGGUGGUGCAUGGUUGUCGUCAGCUCGUGUCGUGAGAUGUUGGGUUAAGUCCCGCAACGAGCGCAACCCUUAUUGCCAGUUGCCAUCAUUCAGUUGGGCACUCAGGCGAAACUGCCCCGGAUAACGGGGAGGAAGGUGGGGAUGACGU